GCCCUGAUGUAUUUACUGAUUAAUGUGUGUUUUACAGCAAGGCUGACUUUAUAUCUUGCUCUUCUUGAUUCUCAUCUACUUAAUCAUGCAGCUGUGUGGCUAAUUGCUUGGGACUUGUCCCCCUUGGGCUGGAAGUUUAGCCUAUCCGUUAUUCAUGAUGAUUGAUGUGGUUACCCGCAAAGGUUUAAACUUGAACUAGUUGUUUUGGGUUGCUGUUGAAUGUAAUAAGCUGUGACGAGUGCCUGGAUGGAUUCAUGUUUUGCUGGAUGCUAGCACUUAGCUAGUUUCCCCAUAUACAACUGAUUAGUUUAGUUGAUGUCCUCACUGUAUCAUCAUGGUUUUAGUUUAUAUAAGUGGAAACUGGUUACUAUUCUGAAAUUAAUCAACCAGCAUGCUUUUGUUAAUUGCUAUGGAGUAAUUCUGAUAAGAACAAGUUCAAUUUACUUGGUCUUGGUAUAGCUUGUUCAUUUCCUGAAUUGACAUGGUAUAGUAACUACAUGUUCAUGGUUAUGCUACUGUUUGGUCGUAGUAAUUCAAUCAAUAUGCUUUCUUGGCCAUGAUAGCAGGAUUGGCUUUUAGAGUUCCUAUUUUCUGCUGAGGUGGUUCUUGGUCUUGCUUGAUAGGAUAAGAUACCGAUAUUCUCUACUUGAUCUUUUACUGAGUGCUAGUGGCGUGCUUUGUGUUGCUGAUGAGAGAUAUUGCAAACUUGAGCUAUUCCCAUGUGUCAUGCGCAGCGAGGAUCUUGAUUUUACAUUUAUGCCCACAGUAGAAGAUAUAUUCUACUUUCGCCAAUGGAAAAUGAUAAACUUGUCAACUUUUGGAUGUCCAUUUUAGUGAGAGGAUUUGUACAAUUAUGCAUGCAAUUGGAUCUGGUCUUUCUAUGACAUGUUAGUCUACAUUUGCUUGGUUAGAGCAACCUGUGGAUUUUUUCAACAAGCACAAAACUAUGUAAAUUAGACCCUGCUGUAUAUGAUGUUAAAAACAUCCUCUCCUUUAAUAUGUUAUUUUUUUCUUUCAUAUAGGCAUGUAAACCAUGACCCUGUACCACAAUGGCUCUUUCUAAGGGUGAUAUUAGAUAGAGAUUUGUGUGCUACUUGCUUAGAAUCAAGGAAAUGGUUAUUGAUUGCUGCCAUGGAUUUUACAUAUAUUCCAUGGCUUUUGCAUACGUUUUUGCUAUGGUGCGGGACGCGCGACAGUGACAACUUAGUGCCAUACUUUGGUCCAUUGUUUGGUGUUGGUGCCAUAGCGAUAGAUGAUGAUGGUGUUGUUACCACGAAAAGUUUAAAUCUGAGAUUGUCGUUUGUGUUGUCAAAAAUUAUUCUCUCUAUCCUGGAUUGCAAUGUAAAGCCAUCCGGGCUACAUUAAUCGAGUCUAGUGACACAACAUUAUCAUGUCAGUUUGAUCGCUUUAUAACAAUUACAGUCGACAACUCAAAGCAUAAAAAUGAUACAGAGAAACUGCUCCUUGUUUUCUAAUGUUUAGAACGGUGUGUUGUUUUUCAAUCUUCCCAUUCUCCUCCUGCAUAUUCUAUACUACAACCUAGCUCUUGAUUCAUACUAAAUCACUGUUCUUUGCUUGGUAUUUGUACUAGUGGUCAGGAGGUGAAUGUGUUUUCCUUCUUGUAACUAUGAAACAUGUCAAUGGCAUCACUAUUUCGAACCUGACAGUAGUCCUUUGAAUCUCAAUCCAAAGCAGCAAUUUGGAUACAUGUGAAACUGAGCCCGUAUGUGAAUUCAUGCUUUUUUAUUUUCUCAGUAUAAGGCCUGUUUGCCGCUCACUAUCUCGUUUGUCGCCAGGAUUCAAGGAUUUCAAUGGGAAGGAAUACGCCAAGCAAGUGGCACAACAAGGAACCAUCUGACACAUCAUGGGUAACAGCUAGACUUGACAUCUAAAAUAAGUUGUGUGGUCUGGCCUUUAUGUAUUUACUGAUUAAUGUGUGUUUUACAGCAAGGCCGACUUUAUAUAUUGCUCUUCUUGAUUCUUAUCUACCUAAGCAUGCAGCUGUGUGGCUAAUUGCCUGGGAUUUUGCUCCCCUUGGGCUGGAACUUUAGCUUAUCUGUUAUUGAUCAUGAUUGAUGUGGUUACCCGCAAAAUUUUAAACCUGAACUAGUUGUUUUGGGUUGUUAUUGAAUGUAAUCAGUUGGGACGAGUGCCUGGAUGGGUUUUUGUUUUGCUGGGUGCUAGCUCUUAGCCAAUUUUGCCAUAUACAACGAUUAGUUUAGUUGAUGUCCUCACUGUAUCAUUAUGGUUUUAGUUUAUAAGUGGAAACUAGUCACUGUUCUGAAAUUAAUCAACUGGCAUGCUUUUGUUGAUUGCUAUGGAGUAAUUCUGAUAAGAACAAGGCCAAUUUACUUGGUCUUGGUAUAGCUUGUUCUUUCCUGAAUUGCCAUGGUAUAGUAACUACAUCGACAUGUCAUGGAUAUGCUACUGUUUGGGUCGCAGUAAUUCAAUCGAUAUGCUUUCUUGGCAUUAUAGCAGGAUUGGCUUUCAGAGUAAAUAUUUCCUGCUUAGGUGAUUCUUGGUCUUGUUUGAUAGGAUAAGACGAGACCGAUAUUCUCUACUUCAUCUUUUACUGAGUGUUAGUGGCGUGCUUUGUGUUGCUGACGAGAGGCUUGGUAAACUUGAGCUAUUCCCAUGUGCCAUGCUGUGCGCUACGAGGAUCUUGAUUAUACAUUUAUGCUCACUUUAGAAGAUAUAUUCUACUUUCACCAAUGAAAAAUGAUAAACUUGUCAACUUAUGGAUGCCAUUUUAGGG
rnacentral:lncRNA from 1 species